rnacentral:rRNA from 1 species
GAUGAACGCUGGCGGCGUGCCUAAUACAUGCAAGUCGAGCGAACAGACGAGGAGCUUGCUCCUCUGACGUUAGCGGCGGACGGGUGAGUAACACGUGGAUAACCUACCUAUAAUACUGGGAUAACUUCGGGAAACCGGAGCUAAUACCGGAUAAUAUAUUGAACCGCAUGGUUCAAUAGUGAAAGACGGUUUUGCUGUCACUUAUAGAUGGAUCCGCGCCGCAUUAGCUAGUUGGUAAGGUAACGGCUUACCAAGGCGACGAUGCGUAGCCGACCUGAGAGGGUGAUCGGCCACACUGGAACUGAGACACGGUCCAGACUCCUACGGGAGGCAGCAGUAGGGAAUAUUCCGCAAUGGGCGAAAGCCUGACGGAGCAACGCCGCGUGAGUGAUGAAGGUCUUCGGAUCGUAAAACUCUGUUAUUAGGGAAGAACAAAUGUGUAAGUAACUAUGCACGUCUUGACGGUACCUAAUCAGAAAGCCACGGCUAACUACGUG